rnacentral:misc_RNA from 1 species
AAAUGCGAUAAGUAAUGUGAAUUGCAGAAUUCAGUGAAUCAUCGAAUCUUUGAACGCACAUUGCGCCCGCCAGUAUUCUGGCGGGCAUGCCUGUUCGAGCGUCAUUUCAACCCUCAAGCUCAGCUUGGUGUUGGGGAUCGGCAGGGCGUCCUCCGGGUCGCGCCGUCCCCCAAAUAUAGUGGCGGUCUCGCUGUAGCUUCCUCUGCGUAGUAAUACACCUCGCACUGGAGUCUCGGCGCAGCCACGCCGUUAAACCCCCAACUUUUUCUGGUUGACCUCGAAUCAGGUAGGACUACCCGCUGAACUUAAGC